rnacentral:rRNA from 1 species
UACGUAGGGUGCAAGCGUUAAUCGGAAUUACUGGGCGUAAAGCGUGCGCAGGCGGUUUUGUAAGUUUGUUGUGAAAACCCCGGGCUCAACCUGGGAAUUGCGAUGAAGACUGCAAGGCUUGAAUCUGGCAGAGGGGGGUAGAAUUCCACGUGUAGCAGUGAAAUGCGUAGAGAUGAGGAGGAACACCGAUGGCGAAGGCAGCCCCCUGGGUCAAGAUUGACGCUCAUGCACGAAAGCGUGGGGAGCAAACAGG